rnacentral:rRNA from 1 species
UACGUAGGGUGCAAGCGUUAAUCGGAAUUACUGGGCGUAAAGCGUGCGCAGGCGGUGAUGUAAGACAGAUGUGAAAUCCCCGGGCUUAACCUGGGAAUGGCAUUUGGGACUGCAAGGCUGGAGUACGGCAGAGGAGACUGGAAUUCCUGGUGUAGCAGUGAAAUGCGUAGAGAUCAGGAGGAAUACCGGUGGCGAAGGCGGCAUCCUGGACCGAGAUUGACACUAAAGCGCGAAAGCCAGGGGAGCAAACGGG